CCUCAAUCCAUGAGGCCACACCUGAACUAAUAAGAGGCCUUGAUCAGGCCCUGCUCUGCUUCGCCCUCUGUCUGUUCAUCUCCUGAAGUUUGCUGUGCGUCUGAUUCAUUAUCUGUGCGACGCGUCCUCGUCUCGGCCCUGAAGGGUCGGCGAGGGUCACGAGAUGAAACUUAAAACCAUCUAAGGACCAAAAGAACCAGAGACAGAAUCAAGAGGGCAGUUCGGUAACCACCGGAGACCGGCGGCAGGAAGCGGAGCACCUCUUUGAUGACGCAGUCGACAUAGCGCAGCUGGCUCAGCUUGUCCAGGCUCAGGUACAGCACGUGAGACCGAGGCCGAGGGAAACUGUGA